rnacentral:rRNA from 1 species
UGGGGAAUUUUGGACAAUGGGCGCAAGCCUGAUCCAGCAAUGCCGCGUGCAGGAUGAAGGCCUUCGGGUUGUAAACUGCUUUUGCGGGGGAAGAAACCUUGAUAUUCUUAUCAAGCCGACGGUACCCCGAGAAUAAGCACCGGCUAGCUCCGUGCCAGCAGCCGCGGUAAUACGGAGGGUGCAAGCGUUAUCCGGAUUUACUGGGUUUAAAGGGUGUGUAGGCGGAUUAUUAAGUCAGCGGUGAAAUCUCCAGGCUCAACCUGGAAACUGCCAUUGAUACUGUCGGUCUUGAGUAAAUUAGAGGUAGCUGGAAUAAGUAGUGUAGCGGUGAAAUGCAUAGAUAUUACUUAGAACACCAAUUGCGAAGGCAGGUUACCAUGAUUUAACUGACGCUGAGGGACGAAAGCGUGGGGAGCGAACA